rnacentral:tRNA from 1 species
GCUGGAAUAGCUCAGUCGGUAGAGCAAUUGAUUCGUAAUCAAUAAGUCGCGUGUUCAAGUCACGUUUCCAGCU